CCUGUGCAUGCCUGGUGCCCACAGAGGUCAGAAGAAGACAUCAGAUUCUCUGGAACUGAAGCUAAAGAUCGUUUUGAGCUGCUGUGUGGACACUGGGAAUUGAGCUCGGGUCUGCUGGAGUGUGUUAAGGCUGAGUGUACAAAAACAUAUGACUGAUUCAGAAAGCCACUAGAAACUGAAGCAGAUGUGGAUGGCCUCUGAAUAGUCUGACCCACUGGGGAACAGCUCAAAGCUCCAAGGCAUGGAUGGCCCAGAGGAGACUGGGAUAUAAAGAAUUACAGAAAAAAUGGAAUCCUGCACCAUUUGUAUGUGAAACAGGACAACAAAAGAGCAGUUAGUCUACAGGGAUGGAGGAAAAUCACACCGGAGACCAUCCAAGGGUCUCCCCAUUGGAAAAAGGUCUAGGAAUUCAGCAUUUGCAAAGAUCCAAACUGGAGGUUAAUUAGAAGGAUUGGGCUGAGAACUGGAGACUAGACCUUCGUUCUGGACAAAAGGAAAAGGGAUAAGGACAGAGGAAGGUGAUGUCUGCCAGCUGCUGCUCCAAAUAAAAUGCACCUACAUUUACAAAGGCCCUGGAGCUGGUUGCCUAGCAACAUCUUUCUACCUCCCCAGUCUGUUCCAUCCAUCCUGACCCACCACCAUACAUCCACUGAGCUUGAUAUGCAAGGCCCUUGGGAACCCCCUCACUUUGAAGCUGCAUUUAUGCAUCUUUGCCCAAUUCAUUGGGAAGAUGCUUACAGCUUACAACUUGUAGGUAGUCCUGGUAGCAUAGCAUCAUGUACCAUUCAUGACCCUGGGACAAGGCAAAAGAGAGCUGUCCUCCCUGCAUGUCCUUCAGCAAUACAGGAUAGCUAGUGCUUUGAGAAAGA